AGCUCCAAUAGCGUAUAUUAAAGUUGUUGCGGUUAAAAAGCUCGUAGUUGGAUUUCUGCUGAGAAUAAUCAGUCUGCCCUCUGGGUGAGUAUUUGGUUUUGCCUGAGCAUUGUCUUGGAGAGCGCAACUGCACUUGAUUGUGUGGUGUGAUAUCCAAGGUUUUUACUUUGAGGAAAUCAGAGUGCUUCGAGCAGGCAUGUGCCUUGAAUACAUUAGCAUGGAAUAAUGAGAUAAGGCUUUGAUUUUAUUUUGUUGGUUUU
rnacentral:rRNA from 1 species